rnacentral:rRNA from 1 species
AGAAUCAUUCACAAUGGGGGAAACCCUGAUGGUGCAACGCCGCGUGGAGGAUGACGGCCUUCGGGUUGUAAACUCCUGUCAUCUGGGAGUAAGCCUUGUUCGUUAAUAGCGUGCAAGGUUGAUAGUACCAGAAGAGGAAGGGACCGCUACCUUCGUGCCAUCAGCCGCGGUAAUACGAAGGUCCCAAGCGUUGUUCGGAAUCACUGGGCGUAAAGCGUGCGUAGGCGGCAUGGUAAGUCAGAUGUGAAAUCUCUGGGCUCAACCCGGAAACUGCAUCCGAUACUGCCUUGCUAGAGUAAUGGAGAGGUAGCUGGAAUUCUCGGUGUAGCAGUGAAAUGCGUAGAUAUCGAGAGGAACACUCGUGGCGAAGGCGAGCUACUGGACAUUCACUGACGCUGAGGCACGAAGGCCAGGGGAGCGAAA